rnacentral:rRNA from 1 species
UUCCGUAGGGUGAACCUGCGGAGGGAUCAUUACACAAUAUGAAAGCGGGUUGGGACCUCACCUCGGUGAGGGCUCCAGCUUGUCUGAAUUAUUCACCCAUGUCUUUUGCGCACUUCUUGUUUCCUGGGCGGGUUCGCCCGCCACCAGGACCAAACCAUAAACCUUUUUGUAAUUGCAAUCAGCGUCAGUAAACAAUGUAAUUAUUACAACUUUCAACAACGGAUCUCUUGGUUCUGGCAUCGAUGAAGAACGCAGCGAAAUGCGAUACGUAGUGUGAAUUGCAGAAUUCAGUGAAUCAUCGAAUCUUUGAACGCACAUUGCGCCCUUUGGUAUUCCAAAGGGCAUGCCUGUUCGAGCGUCAUUUGUACCCUCAAGCUUUGCUUGGUGUUGGGCGUCUUUGUCUCUCACGAGACUCGCCUUAAAAUGAUUGGCAGCCGACCUACUGGUUUCGGAGCGCAGCACAAUUCUUGCACUUUGAAUCAGCCUUGGUUGAGCAUCCAUCAAGACCACAUUUUUUUCAACUUUUGACCUCGGAUCAGGUAGGGAUACCCGCUGAACUUAAGCAUAUCAAUAAGUGGGAGGAA